UAAGGAAUAUUGGUCAAUGGAGGCAACUCUGAACCAGCCAUGCCGCGUGAAGGAUGAAGGUCCUCUGGAUUGUAAACUUCUUUUAUAUGGGACGAAAAAAGGGCUUUCUAGCUCGACUGACGGUACCAUAAGAAUAAGCACCGGCUAACUCCGUGCCAGCAGCCGCGGUAAUACGGAGGGUGCAAGCGUUAUCCGGAUUCACUGGGUUUAAAGGGUGCGUAGGUGGGUUGGUAAGUCAGUGGUGAAAUCCCUAAGCUUAACUUGGGAACUGCCAUUGAUACUAUCAGUCUUGAAUAUUGUGGAGGUUAGCGGAAUAUGUCAUGUAGCGGUGAAAUGCUUAGAUAUGACAUAGAACACCAAUUGCGAAGGCAGCUGGCUACGCAUAUAUUGACACUGAGGCACGAAAGCGUGGGGAUCAAACA
rnacentral:rRNA from 1 species